AGCUGGUCUGAAGGUAGUGAGUAAUCUCGAUUGUUCAGUCAGUUACAGAUUGAGCUCCUGAUCUACUCUUUCCCUGCUUCUCACUACUGUACUUUGACUAGUCUUAA
ensembl:Y_RNA Y_RNA Y RNA